GUGUAAUAUCCUAUGCUCGUCUGGGAUGUGGAGCCUGAAGAGAGUGAGUGUAGGCUGGGAUGCAGCCAGGAUGUCACUGGGGCAGGAAUGCAGAUCUUACUGGGGUGUUAUGUUACCACAGGUGGAUAAUUGUGCUUCUCUAGGAGGAGGAUGCUUUGCCAUGUGCACAGCUGGGGGAGAUCCCUGCAUUGGAGAGCCUGAGAGCCUUCCCCUUGGAGAGCCCUUGACAGGGUGACCAGAGCCUGCAUCCCAUCCCUGCAUGGAGGAUGCUUCACACUUUCUGGGCAGCCUGUAGGGUUGUGUGAAGGUCAGGCAAAAAGAAGAGCUCUUUUGCGAGGCUGAAUAAAUGAAAGCAUGGGAUAGGAAGGAGGAGGGGGGGGAAACAGUUGUGCUUUGCUGAAAAACCUUUUUCUGACACCUACAGAUGGUGCUGACGGGGUCAGGCAGAAGUGAAGAACGGCAGCAGUGGCAAAUGCAAAGACCCCUCACUCUUAACACCUCUUUCUCAUGCUUAAGACUUGAAAAGCAUCCCUGCUGCUGUUCCAGGAUCUGUAAGUCAAGGUGAUGAGGAGGAGAGGGGUGUGAUGAAGGAACGUAGUGUUUGUGGAGGUCCUGGCCAAGGUACGGUGCUCCAGCAAUGGGAUGCAGCAGUGUGCUUAAUGAGGUAAACGAGUUAUCUCAAAGAGGACCGUAGCAGAGAUCUCCUUGGGUCUGGAAGACAAGAGCUAUCAUUGAAAGAUGUUUCUACUCCUUUUCUCUUUUCUUUUCUUUUUCUUUUUUUUUGAUUUCUUUUUCCUCAAAACUCCUUUCAGAGUUGGAAAGGCUUGGAGUUGGGUCCACUGGUAACUCAAACCAGAUAUGUGCACUUUAUAAAGUGUGUGUGUGUGUGUCUUUAGUGAAGUGUUGGCACUUUGACUGCCACAGAGCAGGCGGUGAUGCUGGGGGGCUUUGCCUUCUCCUGGGUGGUUUGGGGAAUGCUGCUGGGGGGCUGAGACAAUGCCCUAACCCCAGGUUUUCUGCCUGCGCUUAAAAGGAUUUGCACUUGCAGAUAGCUCUGAUUCAGUGUGGAAAAGGGAAGGGAUGGGGAAGCUCAGAAGAGCUGACAGAGGCAAAAAAAGGGUGUGAAAUUCGUACUAUCUGGUGUGUCUCCUUUGAUGUGUCACGCAGAGAUUGUGCAGGCGCUCAGAAGUGAAGGGGUUAAAGCGUUUCUCGGUUACCAUUGAAAUGGGAGCUGUUAUGGUCUAUUUAGGCAAUGAUCUGUUACAAUAUCAAUGGCAUUUUCGAUGGCAGUGUCUCCCAUUCUUCUAUUGAAAUCACAAUAGCUUUGGAAGUUCAUGGCCACGGCAGUCUCAGGGACAGAUUUCUGUUCAUUUUUCUUUGUUGUGAAGAUUUUUUCUUUUUUUUUUUUUUUUACCCCCACCUCUUUUUUCUCUAUAAAGUAAAUUAACUCACACAAAUGCGAAAAGAAGCAUCAAGUGUGUGACCUUUGCACAAAAGCUUCAGAUUUGUCAUUCUCUCUCCUUCGCUUAUUCCGGCCGGCUCAGAAACGCCGCGAUUCAAUACGCGGCGCAGCUUGUGAGCUCUUGGGCUACCUGGGCACAAAUGGCUGGGCAAGGCUGAAGGGACAACGUGAAAUCUAC
rnacentral:lncRNA from 1 species